GACGAACGCUGGCGGCGUGCUUAACACAUGCAAGUCGAACGGAAAGGCCCUGCUUUUGUGGGUUGCUCGAGUGGCGAACGGGUGAGUAACACGUGAGUAACCUGCCCUUGACUUUGUGAUAACUUCAGGAAACUGGGGCUAAUACCGGAUAGGAUCUCCUGCUCCACGGGGGGGGUUGGAAAGUUUCGGCGGUUGGGGAUGGAUUCGCGGCUUAUCAGCUUGUUGGUGGGGUAGUUGCUUACCAAGGCUUUGACGGGUAGCCGGCCUGAGAGGGUGAACGGGCACCAUGGGACUGAGAUACGGCGCAGAAUCCUACGGGAGGCAGCAGUGGGGAAUAUUGCGCAAUGGGCGGAAGCGUGAUGUAGAAACGCUGCGUGCGGGAUGACGGGCUUCGGGUUGUAAACAGCUUUGGCCUGUGACGAAGCGUGAGUGACGGUAAUGGGUAAAGAAGCAACGGCUAACUACGUG
rnacentral:rRNA from 1 species